rnacentral:rRNA from 1 species
GCGCGAAAACUCCGCAAUGCGCGAAAGCGUGACGGGGGGACCCCAAGUGCCGCUGAUCUUAGAUCGGCGGCUUUUCAGGAGCUUAAGGGACUCCUGGAAUAAGGGCUGGGUAAGUCUGGUGCCAGCCGCCGCGGUAACACCAGCAGCCCAAGUGGUGGUCGCGUUUAUUGGGCCUAAAGCGCUCGUAGCCGGGCCAGUAAGUCCCUUGUGAAAUCGGACGGCUUAACCGUUCGGCUUGCAAGGGAUACUAUUGGCAUUGGGGCCGGGAGAGGUUGGAGGUACUUCGAGGGUAGCGGUGAAAUGCUGUAAUCCUCGGGGGACCACCAGUGGCGAAGGCGUCCAACUAGAACGGACCCGACGGUGAGGGGCGAAAGCUGGGGGAGCGAACGGGAUUAGAUACCCCGGUAGUCCCAGCUGUAAAGCAUGCGGGCCGGGUGUCAGGCGCCCUUCGAGGGUGCCUAGUGCCGUAGGGAAGCCGUUAAGCCCGCCGCCUGGGAAGUACGGUCGCAAGGCUGAAACUUAAAGAAAUUGGCGGGGGAGUACCACAAGGGGUGGAGCCUGCGGUUUAAUUGGAUUCAACGCCGGACAACUCACCGGGGGCGACAGUUGGUUGAAGGCCAGGUUGACGACCUUGCCGGACUAGCU